GACGUAGGAUGCAAGCGUUGUCCGGAAUUAUUGGGCGUAAAGAGUUCGUAGGCGGUUAUCUAAGUCUGGUGUUAAAGCCCGAAGCUCAACUUCGGCAUGGCAUUGGAAACUGGAUAGCUAGAGUGUGGUAGAGGUAUCGGGAAUUCCUGGUGUAGCGGUGAAAUGCGUAGAUAUCAGGAGGAACACCGGUGGCGAAAGCGCGAUACUGGGCCAUAACUGACGCUGAGGCACGAAAGCGUGGGUAGCAAACAGG
rnacentral:rRNA from 1 species